CGGCCAGAAAGUGGCAACUUUCAAGCCGCUGGCCUGAACGAAGUUGCAACUUUCCGGCUUCGUCGAGCAGAAAAAUAGUAUACACACCUUAAGGCUUCGCCUCGGCCAACAAUUGCAUGUGCUCUGAGACUUUUCUUAUUUUACUGGCCUAGAUAUGUAAUAUACUAUUUACACUAAGAAGUACUGCUUGCUUUUGACUUAGUUUAGCAAGUGAAAAGUAAGGUGGAUGACUGUCGUGCUCGAAGUGAAGACGAAUAAGUUAAAACUAAGAUGAAUAAAGUUCUAAAAGUUGACAAAAAUUUAAAUUAUGUCGAAAAAGUCGAGAUUUUAUCGAAAAAUCGUCGGCAAGUCGAUAACUUCAAAAGAUAAUAAAGUGAAGCGAGUUUGAAUCAAGUUCUAUUGUUGAAGCGGGAUCUUUUCAUAAUUUUUUUGUAAAUUACAUAAAAAAAAUCUUAAAAGAAGCUAAAAUAAUUUCGACUAAAUCGGCUCAAAUGGGUUCUGUAAGAUAUUAUUAAAUAUAUUUAUUCCGUUUGCGAAUGAACUAUUUACUUUUUCAAGAAAGAUUUCUUUGUGGAAUACAAUGAUAAAAAGCCCGAAGAGUGCCGCAAUGGUGUUAUAAGACAAGAGUAUAGAGCGCAAAACGAUUAGUUACACGCGACAUUCAACUUGAUUCUUAUUCUUCCUACACAUUGGUAUGCUAAUUUACGUCUGAAGAGUACUGCGUGAGUGACACUAAAACCCCAAGCGAUUGGCCGUUUUGUAAGCCCUGGGGUGCUGUUUUGAUUUGUGAGUGAGACGCAAGAAAACACCUGUCAGUCUGUACGUCACCUGGAUUAUUAUUUAUUAAAGCAGAUAUUCAAA